UGCUAGUUAUGAUGAGCAACUGGGUUUAGCAGACGAUGUUGGUGACAUUUGUGCUGCUGAAAUAAUUGUCAUGGACAUUCGAACACUGCUAAUUUCCGUAUACAUUUCUCCAGAUUCGACGACCAAGCAGAGGAAAUAUUUUCUGAUGCGCAACUUAAUGAUGUACACCCGAACAGACAUGCCCAUUGUCGUAACUAGCGAUUUCAACAUCGACGUAUCUAAGCCAGAAAACGCAGAUUUCGUCGAUUUCAUGAAGAGAGGUCUUAAAUUUGAUCUUGCUUCUGAUCCCACACAAGCGACAACUCUAGGUGGUACUUGCCUCGAUUUGACUUUCACCAGGAACAUCCGGGCCACAUGCAAACGAUAUUGUGCAUACUUUUCAUAUCACCGGCCUAUGCUGUCGGUGAUUGAAAUAUAAUCAUGUUUGCACUGAAAUGAUAGCAGAACUUAACAGUGGAAAACCAGCAAACAUCGCAACGUGGAAAUUUCUGUUACCAACACCCGCUUCCGUAUGCAGUUCUGAAGCACUACUGCUGUUAUUGCUGCUGAACAUAUGCUAUUAACACUCGCUCAAUAUUGGUUAUCGGGUGCAUUUCUCCAGGUAUUCCUACUGCUCUUCUCGAAGUAGGCUACGAACACCUAAUCUUCGUUGGUUUACGUGUGCAUUACUUCAGGUGCCUAGACUAUUGUCACCGAAGUCGACCACAAACAGCCGCUUGUCACUAGCUUGCCUGUGCAUUUCUGCGGGUAGCACUACUAGUGCUAGUGUUGUAUGCCACGACUACUCGCAGGUUAUUAACUUCAUGUGUGAUUCUCAAGGUAGCAAGACUUCUACUCCCGAAGUAGCUGCCUACUUACUGCCAAACAACUGAUCUUCAUUGACUUAUGUUUGCAUUUCUUCAGUUAGGUACUCCUACUGCUGCUACUGAAGUAUGUUACGAACAUUCGCUCAUUACUAGCCUCGUGUAUUUUUCUUCAGCAAGGCUGCUUCUGCUGAAGUAAACCACGAACACUUUCGUCAUUUGCUAAUGUGUG